UUUGCUUACUGGGGCCAAGGGACUCUGGUCACUGUCUCUUCAGAUUCUCCCACGAACCCUCAAGUGUUCCUCCUCAUCUCAGAGUGUGAAUUCUCAAAGAAAAACCAGUCGGUGAGCCUGGCCUGCUUGGUGAUUGGAAACCAUCCACUGGAAAUCAGCUGGGACUCAACAGCGAAGUACAAGACUAAGAGGACCUUUCCCCUCGAAAAGAAGGAUAAAGAGUACACGAUGAGUAGCCAGCUCUCUUUGUGGACCUCAGAACUCAACAGCACCCACACUUGCCACAUAAAAAACAACUCCAUACUUACUAUUGAAAAGACUUUUCAAUUGCCUAGAAAAUGGAUUGCUCAAUCCUCUCAGAAAACUACUUUACCUCCCCCAGUGGAAGUCACCAAAGCUACUAACACCCGAAGGGACACAGUGGAGGCACCCAGUUACCCUUCUGUGAACUUUCUGGCCACAUCCACCUAUCCUGAGAUGUCAUCGUGGCUCAUGUGUGAGGUUUCCGGCUUCUUCCCCCAAGACAUCAAUCUAAUAUGGCUGAGGUUCCAGAGUAAAAUAAACACUUCGUACUUUGCCACUGCCCAACCCACCCGAGAGCCUGGGGGCAACACGUUCCAGACCUGGAGUGUCUUGAGAAUACCAGUCACUCUAAACUCUUCACUUGACACCUACACAUGCGUGGUGGAACAUGUGGCCUCACGGACCAAGCUCAAUGCCAGCAAAAGGCUGGACAUAAGUGGCAUGGCCAACACCUUCCCCGACUUGUGCAUCAGGGAUGAGCAAACCGACAGCUACCUGGACAUAGAUGAGGAGAAUGGCCUGUGGCCCACACUGUGCACCUUCGUGGCUCUCUUCCUGCUCACACUGCUCUACAGUGGCUUUGUCACUUUCAUCAAGGUGAAAUAGACCAGGACAGCAGCAUCCUGCAACUAAAGAAAUAAAGUGCUUUCCCUCAGCAUGAAGCCCACAAAGAGGAUGUCUUCUAUGCAGAGAAGCUCCAGGCUAUCCUCCCAACCCCCUGCUCUCCACCCAGCCUCUCAGACACAAAAUGACUGGCAUCCUUGGCUAUAGGCAAAGCAGGUGACAUGCUGCCCAAGUCCUACUCCCGCUAUCCUCUCCCUCCUGUCAAGCCCCCAUCCUCACAUAAACAUGCAUGGUGCACUCCACCUGCCUCCUGCUUUUUUGUUUCCAUGGUCUGGAUAAACUCAGGUCACAGCACAUAGGAUCUGAGGCAAACAGUGGAAGGAAAGGUCACUCAGGAGGGGUGUCAAGGACACACUGAGGAAAACUGUUUAGUGAAUUUAGGCAUUCCCCUCCCACCCUAAACACACAAUUGACUUCACACAUAUACAUAAGCAUGGAUGCACACACAUGCAUAUGUUCACAUCACAGUCCCUCAAACACAAUAUACACACACACACACACACAUACACACAUAUGCAUACAUGUAUAUACCUACUCACAUGCACACAGACUCACAUCAGGGCCUUAGAUGGCAGAAAUGAUAACUGUGGUCAUUUGAAUAAGAAUGGCCCCUACAGGCUCAUAUAGUUGAAUGUUUAGUCACCAAGAAGUGGAACUCUUUGAUAGAAUUCGGAGGAUUCAAAAGCUCAUGUCAGGCCCAGUGUCUAUCUAUCUCUCUGCUUAUGGAUCAGGAUAUAGACUCUCAGAUGUUUCUCCAGCACCAUGUUUGCCCACUGUGAUGACAAUGAACUAACCUCUGAAACUGUAAAGC